rnacentral:miRNA from 3 species
UGCCCUUAAAGGUGAACCCAGU